rnacentral:rRNA from 1 species
CCUACGGGUGGCAGCAGUGAGGAAUAUUGGUCAAUGGACGAGAGUCUGAACCAGCCAAGUAGCGUGAAGGAUGACUGCCCUAUGGGUUGUAAACUUCUUUUAUAAAGGAAUAAAACGAGGCACGUGUGCCGUUUUGCAUGUACUUUAUGUAUAAGGAUCGGCUAACUCCGUGCCAGCAGCCGCGGUAAUACGGAGGAUCCGAGCGUUAUCCGGAUUUAUUGGGUUUAAAGGGAGCGUAGAUGGGUUGUUAAGUCAGUUGUGAAAGUUUGCGGCUCAACCGUAAAAUUGCAAUUGAUACUGGCAGUCGUGAGUACAGUUGAGGUAGGCGGAAUUCGUGGUGUAGCGGUGAAAUGCUUAGAUAUCACGAAGAACCCCGAUUGCGAAGGCAGCUUACUAAACUGUGACUGACAUUGAUGCUCGAAAGUGUGGGUAUCAAACAGGAUUAGAUACCCUUGUAGUC